rnacentral:rRNA from 1 species
AUUGAACGCUGGCGGCAGGCCUAACACAUGCAAGUAGAACGAGUGGCGGACGGGUGAGUAAUGUCUGGGAAACUGCCCGAUGGAGGGGGAUAACUACUGGAAACGGUAGCUAAUACCGCAUACCAUCGGAUGUGCCCAGAUGGGAUUAGCUAGUAGGGGGGGUAACGGCUAACCUAGGCGACGAUCCCUAGCUGGUCUGAGAGGAUGACCGGCCACACUGGAAUUGAGACACGGCCCAGACCCCUACGGGAGGCAGCAGUAGGGAAUCUUCGGCAAUGGACGGAAGUCUGACCGAGCAACGCCGCGUGAGGGAAGAAGGCCUUCGGUUUGUAAAGUACUUUCAGCGAGGAGGCGUUACUCGCAGAAGAAGCACCGGCUAACUCCGUGCCAGCAGCCGCGGUAAUUC